rnacentral:rRNA from 1 species
UACGAAGGGGGCUAGCGUUGCUCGGAAUGACUGGGCGUAAAGGGCGCGUAGGCGGACUGCACAGUCCGGCGUGAAAUUCCUGGGCUGAACCUGGGGACUGCGUCUGAGACGUGUGAUCUAGAGUGAGGAAGAGGGUCGUGGAAUUUCCAGUGUAGAGGUGAAAUUCGUAGAUGUUGGAAAGAACACCGGUGGCGAAGGCGGCGACCUGGUCCUUGACUGCCGCUGAGGCGCCAAAGCGUGGGGAGCAAACAGG